UACGAACUGUGCAAACGUUAUUCGGAAUCACUGGGUUUAAAGGGUGCGUAGGUGGGCAAGUAAGUCAGUGGUGAAAUCUCCGGGCUUAACCCGGAAACUGCCAUUGAUACUAUUUGUCUUGAAUACUGUGGAGGUCAGCGGAAUAUGUCAUGUAGCGGUGAAAUGCUUAGAUAUGACAUAGAACACCAAUUGCGAAGGCAGCUGGCUACACAAAUAUUGACACUGAGGCACGAAAGCGUGGGGGAUCAAACAGG
rnacentral:rRNA from 1 species